rnacentral:tRNA from 1 species
AUUUUGAUAUCUUAAUAUAAAGUUUGAUUUUGAAGAGAUCAAGAUGGUUGAUAAAUCUCAAAAUA